rnacentral:tRNA from 1 species
GAGGGCGUAGCUCAGUUGGCAGAGUUCAGGGUUGUGGCCCCUGCGGUCGUGGGUUCGAAUCCCAUCGCUCUCCCCA